rnacentral:lncRNA from 1 species
CAGCAAGCUGCCAUCCAGACCACAGUGCUUUAUCUGAAUAGAACACACUGGAGAGGGUCAUCUUGCAUCAGACUCACAGAAAUGCCCAGAGAUGCAUGUGUAGAAUCAAUGAAGAAAUGGAGACACCCCUAGCACAAAUACCAACGUCCACAAGCAAAUGUCUAUACCCUCCUUUCAAGCAUAUCUCCAUCCUUCUCCUUCCCAUGUGGGCCUUCAGUGAACUGCUCACAUCAGCUCAGCACAUUUCUUCACUACUUGUGUUUGUGUAAGUAGAAGCAACAUUGAUAUUGCUGCCAUUCUUGCAAUCAGUGGAACUGGCUACAAAUGUGGUCAUUAGAAAAAGGUAAAUAAACUAUUAAAUUCAUUAAAUAUGUUGAUGUAAAUGUGAGUAGUCACGCAGCAUGAGUAGGUUUAAGGCAUCAUUAUAUUCUAUACAUCACACACAAACCUGAGUGUUGGAUUCUGCCUGGAAAAGGUAACAAAAUGAAAUGGAGAGUGGUUAUUGGAUUGAGGGUACUAUUCCUUAACAUAUUACACAAUUAUCUUAUUUCCUGGGGCACUAUAAUUAACACCACAGUCUUAUUUACCCUUAUAGGUAAAUAACUUCAGGACAGAGCUGGGGGCCAUCACCACAGCAGCAUGGAAAUCACAACUAGUGCUAUACUCCCUGGUGAUCUUGAGGGCAUUUUUUUCCUAAGUGUUAGGUAUUGGCCUGUGCUCCCUGUCAACAUUCUGUGAGUCUAGAGAAACAAUACUGGACUAGCAGUGCUUUCAGAAAUGCCCAAGAAAAUGUUCAGAGGUGCUAGUGUUCUUCUGUUCUUGUUAAAGCAACAUAGAUGUUGGAGCAGAGGAUGGAAGUCUUUGCCUUAAGUCUUUUUACCCCUCCAGAGUCGCUGUUCAUCCAUGGCAAAUAAGCUCCAGAGACACAAUCCUAAUGGAUGGGCAGACCAACAAGAGGACAUGUGACAUCUACAUGAAGAACUUCUUGCACCAUGGGAUGGUAAAGAACAGGCUAUGUUUUGAAAGCAGACCUCUGACACAGGGUCUUGCGUUUCGUCUUGCUGUCACACUGUGUUACCACACCACAUCACACUGUGUGACAUAACCGACAAACCCUGUUGUAACCUGUAUGUGUCAUGGGAAGGCAGCCUGCUGCCUGAUUCUUGUAAGAGUGCUUCAGGAAAAAGGCAAUCCUACUAAUUCCCCACAGCCAGAACUGUAGCAGGAGCAAAGCUGAACAGAGCUGCUUGCUCUCUUCCUACCUAUCUAUAAUCAGCUUCAGGCAGUCAGCACUUGUCACCCUGAACAUUUCAGAAAUUCUAGAGUACAUGGUGAUAUAAAGCCACUGAAAUGGAGUAAUGUCCCAUGAAGAAAGAGGCUGUCUGUUGAAACCUACUUUUUCACAUUCAAGUAGGAGGUGGUGUGAUAGGGCACACCACAGCAGGGUCCUGACAGCAUACGUCAGUGAGGACAAAUGAACUUUUCAGUGCUGGUCCAAGGUAUUUCAGUUUUGUAUCUAGCCCUCUCUGUGCCCUGCUGUCUUCAUGGUGGUGAUACCAGUUUGGAAGUGAUACCAAGGAACUACUCAGAAUAUGAGAACUUCAACUUUUUCUUUUGUUGCGUUCCCCAGGAAUUACCGCUCGCAACAAUUUGUGGAUGUCCCCCUCAGAUUAUUUUAACUAAGAGCUUUCCUGAUUUAUUUUGUCUCCAGGGGAUUUCUAACUUAUGUGAACUAUGACUGGUGAUAAUGAAAUAUAUUGUCAUGCCACAAAUUCAAUACAUUAAAAUAAGUGAUGGUCUCUCAUGCUCUUUCUCACUUUGUGAACUUCUAGGCUUGUAUCAUCAUCCCUAAUACAUUCAAUAUCACUGACUCACCUUAAAUUCAGAGAUGCAAAUUCUUUCAUGAAACUCAAUAAGCAGCAUUUUAGAAAGCUGUUUUUAAUAUUCAUCAAGCAGGUCAUUCAGCAUUGGGUGCCAGCUUAGCAAAACGAUGAGACGCUCCCUUGCACCUUGAUGUAGAGAUGGAUUUCAUCCAGCAUCAGAAAUUUGCUUCUCCAGCAAACAGAAUUUAACAAUGAGCUGUGCAGGCAAAGAAACAAGAUGCUUCUCUUCUCAGUAUCCUAAGAACACUUUGCUUUGUCAACAAGAGAAACAAGAGAGAAAAUGUCCCCCUGAGCACUAUUAUGUCAAGGCCUCUGUGGUGCUCAGCUGUCCCACUAAAGGCUUCACAGUAGACAGGCAGAGAUAUAACCUACAGGUCAAAUUCUCCCACCC